GAGUUAUCAGAGUGACCAAACUCCAGCUGCCUACAUGGCCAAGAACACGAGGAACUACUCUGCUUCGCCGGCGUCCAGUCUGUUGUGGUACUCCUGUUUGCUCUGCUCUCACGAUUAUGGGCUCCUGACCCUUCAGACCCCUUGAGCCAGCAAACUCCCUCACGCAUUCUUGGACUAAGCAUGUCUGGAUGGUGGAAAAUAUGAACUCUGUCCAACACCUCUUGACACACAAAGAAACCACGUAUCGGAGAAUGUGACUGGCCACAUGUUCCCUGGAGAGUGACCAGGGAGCCAGCUCAGUGCCACUCUGGCUUUCUACCACCAGAUUUGUUCUACCCUCUGAGAGGAGCUCAAGGCAUCUAGCCGGAGCAGGUUGUAACUGGUAAAGAAGCCUCCACCCAGAGAGGGCUAAGCUGUCUCCUCCUGGCCAUGAGGUCUGAAGGGCUGUGCUGGUUACUACUUAAUUUUUCAUAUCUUGCAAGAUAUGAAACGUAACCAGGGGGAUGAUCUAUUGAUUUCAGGCUAUUCAAAAUUCUAUAAUGCCUUUAUUGAUUAUGGAAAACCACAAGCAGAAUCAAGCUCUUGUUUCCAAGAAUUUCUCCUGGAAAUCACACCCCUUGAUGCCUUGAAUAUGAGGCCAGAGGAGGGAGGUCCCUAACCCACACCCAAAGCGUCAAAGGCCCUUACUCAGCUUGGUCUGGGGAGGAGGAUUUUUUUUUUUUUUUUUCCUAAAACAGGAUAAAACUUGUGAAGAGUCAGUGAAUUGGCUGUUUGUUUAGGAGCCUGAAGUUCAGGUGUUUGUAAUUCAACCUCUGAGUCACUUCUA